ACAAUUAGUGAGGAGCACAAAUAUGUAUGUUGUGUGUGACGACAAAAUGCUUUUCUUAUUGUUAUUACUUAUUUAAAGUCAUUGAUAGCUUCAUGGAUCUUUGUAUCACAUGAUGUGAACUCCUUACAAAUACUUGCGUUUAUAGAGCCAAGACCCUAGGAAUGAGCUGAUUCUAACACCCAUGCAAAGUAAAAAAUUAUAAAUGUUAAUAUGCCGCAACUACUAAGAGGCAUACAAGGCGAUACUAGAGCUGAGUUUCGGCCAAGGGGCACACUAAAGCAAAAGUGUGUACAUAUACCAUGAGGAGCGUUGGGCUCAUAAUCAGUUCUACUCAGAUUGUGGACUGACCGUAUAUGAAGAUAAUGAGGAUUGCUACCGGAGCAUAGCCACUUUUGGUGGUUAAUGAAUGGGCAUGGACGUGAAGCUGCUUUCAAUCAAUAGAGAACAUAUGUUGCCCCAGACCAAGCUCCACACAUUACCACCUCUGAGUUUGUACAUAAUGAGAUCAUUCGGUAGUAAUUUGUGCUGUAGAUAUGAGUUUUGAGAAGAGAAAAAAGACAUGUAAAAUCGUACCAUAUAAUAAUUAUGUUGUUUCUUUCAAAAUACUUGACAUGGAUACUUGCACCUCCUGAGUUUGUACAUAAUGUUGUUGCCUAUAGGACAAUGUUAUUGUAACUUCGCUAAAAUUCGGUACAAUGUACAUGUGAAUUCCACAACUUGGCUUCUGUAAUAUACUUAUGAUGUUUAUAGUACUCUCUUGCUUUUGCUUCUGCGCUGGGGUGCACUGUGUCGUAUGACAAUGUUAUUGAACAUUAGCAAUUUUUUCAUACAAGUUUUGCCAUUAUUGCCAUUGUUGUAUUGUAACUGUAGUAGUAUAGUGGUUCUCAAUUUUCUGUUACGUUGGAAACCUAAAUUAUUUACCCAUAGACAUUUGUCAUUUGCUUCUUAGUGAUGAUCCUGGUGUAUUUUUAUUGAAAAAAUAACACUGUAUGUACUUUUGAAGAAAAAUAGCACUACUUAACUGAUUAAAAC